UCUCCCUCAUCAUACCAUACACAUGACCUUCUUCUUCUCUUUUUUCUUACAUACAACCUCUGUUCCGAUUGUGUGUCUAUUUGAGGACCGAGUUCAGCAAGUUGUGUUUUAAUCUUCGUAGCAACCUACAAAUCUAGAACAUGAAGGUGUCUUUGUGUGGGAGCAACUUCAAGAUACCAUGGCGAUUAUUUUUCUCGUAUUGUUUAAAUUGGUGGUCUCGGAAUUUUAUACAUAUAAGGUAAAUAUAAUUGGUUUCUUUUAAGGCUCAUCUUAUUCCCACAAUAUAAAUGGCUAUGAAAAAAAAACAAAGGUUAUGAUGAAACAUACGUUAUAGAGAAGUACCUUUAUGAUAAGGGUUACUGCUAUUAUUCAGACGAAUUAUGGGCACGAAAGUACAGAAUUCGUCUUAGGGGCAUAGACACACCUGAGAUGGAACAAGAGUAUGGACAUGAAGCUCAGGAAGUUCUACUAGAGUUAAUUGUUGGCGAUAUGGAGUUGAAGAUUGAUGUCUACAAAAUUGAUCGACACAAUCGUUGUAUUGCAGACGUCUACUGCAACGACGUGUUAGUUCAGGAAAUGGUAUUGAGUUUGGGAGCAGCGUGGUAUGCUCCUCAUUUUGGCGAGAACGCUGUUUUUGAAGAGCGCCACAGGAUUGCCAAAGCUAGUAGAGUUGGUUUGUAGGAAAAUCUCAAUGCUAUACCGCCAUGGGUGUGGAAAGAAAAGAACAAGUAAUCAGUCUAUUAAUAAAGGUAUGUGUUUGUCAGACAGGGAAGUAAGGAGCCAUAUGGCAUAUUUUUGUAGUUGGAGCUACGAAAAAGAGAGAGAAUUAGAAGUUUUUCUUGGUACACUUGUUACUUAUUGAUAUGAACCAGUUUUAUUUUCUUUA